rnacentral:tRNA from 1 species
UUUUUUAUGGUGUAUCCAACACACCACAUUUUCAUUGUGGAGCAGAAGGGGUCCCUUCUAAAAAUA